UACGUAGGGGGCUAGCGUUGUCCGGAAUCAUUGGGCGUAAAGAGCGUGUAGGCGGUUCGGUAAGUCCGUUGUGAAAGUCAGGGGCUCAACCCUUGAAUGCCGGCGGAUACUGUCGGGCUAGAGUCCGGAAGAGGCGAGUGGAAUUCCCGGUGUAGCGGUGAAAUGCGCAGAUAUCGGGAGGAACACCUAUGGCGAAGGCAGCUCGCUGGGACGGUACUGACGCUGAGACGCGAAAGCGUGGGGAGCAAACAGG
rnacentral:rRNA from 1 species